AUUGAACGCUGGCGGCAUGCCUUACACAUGCAAGUCGAACGGCAGCGGACCUUCGGGUGCCGGCGAGUGGCGAACGGGUGAGUAAUAUAUCGGAACGUACCUUUCAGUGGGGGAUAACGUAGCGAAAGUUACGCUAAUACCGCAUAUUCUGUGAGCAGGAAAGCAGGGGAUCGCAAGACCUUGCGCUGAUUGAGCGGCCGAUAUCAGAUUAGCUAGUUGGUGAGGUAAAGGCUCACCAAGGCGACGAUCUGUAGCGGGUCUGAGAGGAUGAUCCGCCACACUGGAACUGAGACACGGUCCAGACUCCUACGGGAGGCAGCAGUGGGGAAUUUUGGACAAUGGGCGCAAGCCUGAUCCAGCCAUGCCGCGUGAGUG
rnacentral:rRNA from 1 species